rnacentral:rRNA from 1 species
UAGGGAAUCUUCGGCAAUGGACGAAAGUCUGACCGAGCAACGCCGCGUGAGUGAAGAAGGUUUUCGGAUCGUAAAACUCUGUUGUUAGAGAAGAACAAGGACGUUAGUAACUGAACGUCCCCUGACGGUAUCUAACCAGAAAGCCACGGCUAACUACGUGCCAGCAGCCGCGGUAAUACGUAGGUGGCAAGCGUUGUCCGGAUUUAUUGGGCGUAAAGCGAGCGCAGGCGGUUUCUUAAGUCUGAUGUGAAAGCCCCCGGCUCAACCGGGGAGGGUCAUUGGAAACUGGGAGACUUGAGUGCAGAAGAGGAGAGUGGAAGUCCAUGUGUAGCGGUGAAAUGCGUAGAUAUAUGGAGGAACACCAGUGGCGAAGGCGGCUAUCUGGUCUGUAACUGACGCUGAGGCUCGAAAGCGUGGGGAGCAAACAGG